AGCGAGGGAGAAGCAGAAACUCCCAGGAACCUCUGUGGACUGGCCUUUAAGCCCGGCAACGGCGAAAACCUGGAUGGAGGAUCGCUGGGCCUGCGAGCGCGGAAAGUGAUGCCGCUUUUCCCAAACCUCCUUUCCGAGUCUUCGCCCGAGCCCCGGCUGAGCGCAAACUGAAAGUGGAAAGCGGCCGGGCUGCCAGCCGCCAGCGAGCCUCCUACCCGGGACGAGACUUUUUGGAUGCCUUCUGGUUUGAAGAAAUCUCCAGCUGCUCUGAUGAUAGUUUAAGAAGACUGCAUGCUGUUUCCUCUCGAUGCCAAGCCAGGCCCGCGGGAACCUCGGAUCCCAGCCCUUCAUGGAGACCAGGUCCCAGCAGGAAUGGCAGUGGAAGACGUCGGCACCCAGAUGGUUCCUUCACGUGAAGUUGUCUUGGGCUGUGGGCCGACUCGAGAACACCUGGUAGCCAGGCCGGCCCUCUGUCAGUCACCCAGGGCCGGGCAGCAUGGUGUGGAUUCAGAGGAGGAAGCUUUUGGCAUCUUGCCUCUGCAUCACAGCCUCUGUCUUUCUGCUUGUCACACUCCAGGUAGUGGUUGAGCUGGGGAAACUUGAAAGGAAGAAGUUUAAAAAUUCCAACGGGCAAGAUGGACAUGCAAUGAUGGAGGAGGAGCCUACACACCUCUAUCCACUCCCUGGGAAAGAAGCCCUGAACUGGAAAAACAAAUCAGAGACUGAUAACUACCCCAUCAUGCUCUGGUGGUCCCCACUGACCGGGGAAACUGGAAGGCUAGGCCAGUGCGGAGCGGAUGCGUGUUUCUUCACCAUCAACCGGACCUACCUACAUCAUCACAUGACCAAAGCAUUCCUCUUCUAUGGCACUGACUUUAACAUAGAUAGCUUACCUCUGCCUCGGAAGGCCCAUCACGACUGGGCCCUUUUUCACGAAGAGUCUCCGAAAAAUAAUUACAAGCUCUUUCACAAGCCAGUCAUCACCUUGUUCAACUACACUGCCACGUUCAGCCGACAUUCCCACUUGCCACUGACCACCCAGUACUUGGAGGGCGUAGAAGUCCUGACGUCACUCAGAUACCUGGUCCCUUUGCGGUCCAAGAACAUCCUUCGAAGAAGACUUGCUCCACUGGUGUAUGUCCAGUCAGACUGUGACCCGCCAUCAGACAGGGACAGCUAUGUUCGAGAACUGAUGACUCACGUUGAGGUGGAUUCCUACGGUGAGUGUUUACGAAACAAGGAUCUCCCUCCACAGCUAAAAAAUCCAGCUUCCAUGGAUGCUGAUGGCUUUUAUAGGAUCAUUGCACAGUAUAAGUUUAUCCUUGCCUUCGAGAAUGCGGUGUGUGACGACUACAUCACUGAGAAGUUCUGGAGACCUCUGAAACUGGGGGUGGUCCCUGUGUAUUAUGGGUCCCCCAGCAUUGCUGACUGGCUCCCAAGUAAUAGAAGUGCUAUUCUCGUGUCUGAAUUUGCUCACCCUAGAGAACUGGCAAGUUACAUCAGACAACUGGAUCACGACGACAGACUGUACGAGGCCUACAUAGAAUGGAAGCUGAAGGGUGAGGUCUCGAAUCAGCGACUUCUCACAGCACUCAAGGAACGGAAGUGGGGAGUACAAGACGUCCACCAGGACAACUACAUCGAUGCAUUUGAGUGCAUGGUGUGCAGCAAGGUGUGGGAUAAUAUCCGGCUUCAGGAGAAGGGCUUACCACCCAAAAGAUGGAAGGCAGAAGUUACCCACCUGAGCUGCCCGGAGCCCACAGUGUUUGCUUUCUCACCUCUGGCUCCACGUUGGAGCUCUCUGAGGGAGAUGUGGAUACCAAGCUUUGAACAGUCCAAGAAAGAAGCCCAGGCACUAAGGUGGCUGGUUGAUAGGAAUAAAAAUUUUUCAGCUCAAGAGUUUUGGGCCCUCGUGUUCAAGGACUAAUUUCUACCAGUAUCACAGCGCUAUGGACUAGGGGGUUCUCUUGAGCUUUAUUUUCUAGGUUGCCUUAACACUCGAAUACAGUCGCUACUUUGUUGACUGUCCUUCAGGAUAAGGAUUAAUUGCUGUAGUUCUCAUAAUGAGCCCUCUCAGCUAACGGAUAUGAAUUACCCUUAGGGGUCACCUCUGUAUUUUUUAUACUAAAAAAGUGAAUAUGUCGUAUGGACACUGGUCACCUUCAGUUUCCACGUCUGGACGGAUGUACCUGCUGCCUUUUGUGGACGUCCAGCUAAUGCGGAAGGAGACAUUUCAUCUGUCAACCUUGGGUGAUUUCUGGCAAGAAUAAGAACUCUGACUUAGGGAUUAGCAAUGAAGACGGCGGGCCCACUGGGCAAGCAGGUCCACUCUGCCGAAACUGCAUCUGUUCACCAUGCUUUUGGCUCCAUCUGUUCGAUAUUCACCAAUGAAGUCAACUUUUCAUCUCUUUUUUCAUUAUAUGUGGAAGUGUACUUAGAUUGGAAUGUGGAUACACAAUACAGAAUGGCCAGCCAGUGCUCGAAUCUCCCUGGCCAAGAUAAUUGGUUCAUGCUCGGACAAAGGACUCACCAGAGACAAAAGGCCAGUCAUCAAAUAAUGCUUGGCUUACUUAUGCUUCUGCUGCACCAUUAAGUGUAUGAAUUUGUAUAUGAAACGGAAUCCCAAACUAGCUGUGUGCCCCGAGAUAAGUGAUCUCAUCUCUCUGCACCUGAGUUUUGUCUUCUGAAGAACAAAAACAACAAACAACAAACAAAAAACGAGGUUGGCAUCUCAUGGAUCUGGGACCUCAAUGUGGGGGGAAUUAGGAAAUAACGUCCUGGACACUUGUUAUGCAUCCACGAAGUGUUCAGCGCUGUGCUGAGAAAUGGUGAAACAAAAAGGAAGAAGAUUCAGCCUUUAGAGGAUUUCCGGUGCCUGCAGGGAGAGAAUUGGAGCCAAGGACCAAAUGUGGAUGAAGACCCUACGUGCAUCACAUUCCAAAGAAACUCUUGAGCUAAAGAGGCCAGCUCUGGUCUCCCUGGGGUUUAUUUGGAGGGGCCAGAGCUAUGCUGGCCCUACCUCCACCUACCCCUGUCAGGAGAGGAGAACGGGAAGGUAGAGAAGUCUGAGUGAAUGGCACAUGAUUCCAGAGGCAGAGGCAGAGGACGAGGAGAUCAGAGAAAACAGGAAGGCAUUUUGCAGGAUUUGCAAUAGCUCCGUUCAGAAGCAAUGAAUGUCUGAGACAGAGCGUGACAAUGAGGAGGAAAUCAGCACUAGCCCAGAGUUAUCUGAAGGUCACUGGACAGUAGUAAGAGGUGUGUGAGAAGGAGCAGUCACAUGUGACUUCUAGCUCGACCUGUUAAGAUAAGACGUCCAGGGAGACUGGGGACGUCAUAUGUAUUUGACAAAGCCUCUAUCAGCCUGGUUCUCUGAGUGACUAUGUAGGGAAGAACAUUCCUCCCUAUCAUCACCAACCCUGAUGACGUGAAAUUGUCCCGGGCUGCCAGGAUAAAGCCUUCAAGAUCCUAUCCAUGGCAGCAUUUGUUAUCUCUUAUCUUUUUGACGAUGGCGAUUCUAACAGGUGUGAAGCGAUACCUCAUUGUGGUGAGAUGGUAUUGCAAUAUUAAAAAAAAAUUUUUUAAUGUCAUCCCUUGACAGUUUCCUAUCAACGGGAUUACCACUUGGGUGCUGCAGGCAUGGCAUUUCCUCAUUGAGAAGUGGAGUCUAUUUCUCUCUCCUUUAAUCUGGAAUGAUCUUAGUGACUUGGAUUGAUACUGUUAUAUUGCAAAAGAGAUGUUCUGGAACUUUCAAUAGCAUCUUUGGAGAAAUCCAGUGACCAGGGAAGAAGUCCAGCAAUCCUGCGGCUACCCUGUUGUGAGAUGCCAUAGUGUUGUGAAGAUAUCUUAAAGGUGAGGUUGAGAUGCCAUGGAGAUGGAGAUAGAAACAAAAGGUAGGGAGAGAGAGAGAGAGAGAGACAGGGAGAGACCAGGUAGCACCAUGGCUCCAGGUGUGUGAGUGAAGAAGCCACCUUGGAAGUGGUUCACCAGGCCCAGCUGCUCCAGCUGAUGCCUAACACACAAAAGCAUCUUGUUUACAUCUUUAUAUAGCCCCCUACCCUUGACUCUAGGUUGAUCUGUAACUCAUUCUUGGUCAAUAAAAUGUGGCAGAAGUGAUACUGUAUACUUUCUGAGGCUAGAAGCCUUGAAGCUUUUGCCUGAGCCUCUUGUCAUGCUUAGUUGUCUUCCUCUGCCUCUUGAAGUCCAGCUGCCAUGAUAUGGGAAGCCCAAGCCCUAUGGAGGCCAUGCGUAGGCACUCUGGCUUAAAGUUCCAGGUAAGCUUCCAGCAGAUAGCCAGCAUCAACUGCCAGCCACAUGAGUGGGUCGGUGUUGGUCUUUAGCCCAGUCAAGUUUCGGAUGGCUACAUACCCAUCUGAUAUGAAAGAUCUCAACUGAGAAUUGCUUAGCUUGGUCCAGUUAGCACCAGAAGUUCAAAAGGUAAUAAUUAAUUGUUGUUUUAAACCACCACAUUUUGGGGCUUUGUAUUUGCAGCAAUAGAUAACUGGAAGAUAAACCAUUGCAACUAGUGUUUAACUUGGAAAAACGCAGUGUAGAACCUAAUGUAUCAGAAGAAAAACAUUUGAAAAAUUAAAAUGUAGCAUGCCAAGGGGUGC